AUGAAGAGGAACGCUUUGAGGAGUAGUGCACCCUUAGAGUGAAAGAGGAGACCGGAGAAGAGACCCUAAGGUUGGAGGAGACGGCGGAGAACGCAACUGAGCUUUAGUGCAAGCAGUAGCGGCUACUCAGGUGAGGGAGCAGCAUUAACCUUUGUGGUAUUAGAAUCUUAGCAUUGGAAACUCCAACGACACUCACUAGUUGGAUGGUUUCGGUGAAUUAACACGAUUAAACGGAAAUAUCAUGAAUUUCCUAUUUAACCGCGUUAAUCUUACGGUUGUGGAUAAUAUGUUGAUUAUGGAAUUGUGACCUGCCCUUCGUGGUACGGAAUUGUGACCUGCCCUU